UGUGAUAUCUGUGUUACGGUUUUCAUUGUUUAGUUCAAUUUGUAAUGUGAGAUCUCUGUGAGUAUUCUCAUUGCUCAGAUCAAUUUGUAACGAACUUGCGAUUUGUGAAUUCGAAUCUUCGGUUGACAUUCUUGUUCAAUUUGUAACGAACUAGAUUUCAGUAGUGGAACUAGAUUUGUAGUGAGAAAGUGGAUGUGUUGGAUAUGUUUUUGUUCUUGAACAAUGGCGGAUGAAGCGGAUGAAGGGAAUGAAAGUGUUUUGUUUUUUUUUUUUUAUUUUUUCGGUCUUUAAUAAGUCGCGCGCGUCGCGCGUUGCUCGUCCGAUGAGAGUGUUGUGUCGGACGAGUCCGACACAAUACGUUCUCAUAUUAUUAUAUUUGUACCUUUUAAAUAGUGAGUUUUUCUUGAUAUAUUUAAUAGGAAUGAAAAAAAAACGUAUAUCAAGUUAUGAAACACAAAACCAACUCGCGGCGACGUCCAGGUCCAAAUACUAGUGAGUAGUGAUUAUAAAAAAGAGUAGAUAGGAUAAUUGACAAAAGGAGAUCUAUUGCCUAUUGGGGAUCGUAUCCGUAAAAUUGGUAAAGAAAGAGAGAGAUGGGAAUAGGAAGCAAGGUGGGAGACUUGGUUUUCAAGGGUUUUACGGCGAGUCUGGGUUUAGCAACUAUCUAUCUCACUGCUACUUUCUCCGUUAAUGUCUAUCAAGGUCUCUCUUGGCACAAUGCUCAAUCGAAAUUAAACCAGGAAGACCAGGACGAUCAGAAAAAUAAGGCCUGAAACAGUGUAACUGCAUCAACUGCUAAAUAAAGACUUUUUCUUUUUCAAAUUAUUCCUGAUGAAGAGUACAUGCUAAGGCAAACCAUUAGAUACGUGAACAUGUCUGGAUGUAGCAUUUUGAAACAGUAGAUCACGUUUUGUGCUUCUUCUACGAUAUUCCUUUCAGAAAAAUAACACUGUAGAUGUAAUAACAAGCCUUCAUUAUUCAUUUUUAUUCUCGUGUUAA